CGGGGCGCCUGUGGGAGUCGUGGAGGGAACUUUCCCAGGCCCCGAGGCGGAUCGGGUAUUGAGUCCAUGGAGCGAGCUGAGAGCUAGAGAUCUAAAGCUUAAGGACUAUGGAGUGGAUCUCAUUGAAGUUUCAGACAAUGGAUGUGGGGUAGAAGAAGAAAACUUUGAAGGCUUAACGAUGUCACCAUUUCUACCUGCCACGCAUCGGCGAAGGUUGGGACUCGACUGGUGUUUGAUCACGAUGGGAAAAUCAUCCAGAAAACCCCCUACCCCCACCCCAGAGGGACCACAGUCAGCGUGAAGCAGUUAUUUUCUACACUACCUGUGCACCAUAAGGAAUUUCAAAGGAAUAUUAAGAAGACGUGCCUGUUUCCCCUUCGCCUUCUGCCGUGAUUGUCAGUUUCCUGAGGCCUCCCCAGCCAUGCUUCCUGUACAGCCUGCAGAACUGUGAGUCAAUUAAACCUCUUUUCUUCAUAAAUUA
ensembl:lncRNA PMS2P4 PMS1 homolog 2, mismatch repair system component pseudogene 4